UACGUAGGGUGCGAGCGUUAAUCGGAAUUACUGGGCGUAAAGCGUGCGCAGGCGGUUCGCCAAGUCAGGUGUGAAAUCCCCGGGCUUAACCUGGGAAUUGCAUUUGUGACUGCACGGCUAGAGUGUGUCAGAGGGGGGUGGAAUUCCCAGUGUAGCGGUGAAAUGCGUAGAUAUCGGGAGGAACACCAAUGGCGAAGGCAGCUCGCUGGGACGGUACUGACGCUGAGACGCGAAAGCGUGGGGAGCAAACAGGG
rnacentral:rRNA from 1 species